UUUUAAGAAGUGAACAACCAAGUUAUUUGCCUGGAAAAGUCUCCUGAAAUACUGAAGUUAUGCUAAAGAAGGAGAAGAGAAAGGAAGCUGCAGUCCCUGUAUAACUCCUAAAUUUUUAAUUUGGAGUUCCUCUUCUUCGGUGCAACAAUCUUUCUGCAUGCACAGAUCCAUGUGGCACUCAUCUCAUCAUUCUGAGGGAAGAAAGAUGCAUAGGGAAUGUUGCAUGUGGUUAUUUCUGUUUCUCUCAAGUGCACAUUAUCCAUCAAGAAGAUUUAAAUCAUUUUGAAAUAUUAAUAUAAUGAUCAAAAAUUAACUUUUAUACAUGUUAUUAGGCAGAACCCACAGAAAACAAUAAAGCACGAGAGAAAAGAGGAUGGCAGUUUACCCAGGAAACAUAGGUUGUGCAAAGCUUUGCAAUGAUACUCUCAAUUCAGAGCAAUGAAGAACAGAAUGCUGUCUUCCCAUAAUGAUGGCAUUCAAUUAUCACUAGACUUACAAGACUACAGAAAAUUUCUCAAGAACCAGUAAGGAUCAGACAGAGCCAAUGACAAUACUGAAGAAGCUUGCCAGUGGAGAAUGAAAGCUCAGUUACACAAAUUACGUUGUUGAACCAGUGCCAGAAAUAAAAUGUGAUGGACAAACUCAUUAAU
rnacentral:lncRNA from 10 species